rnacentral:rRNA from 1 species
AACGAGCGCUGGCGGCAGGCUUAACACAUGCAAGUCGAACGGAUCCUUCGGGAUUAGUGGCAGACGGGUGAGUAACGCGUGGGAACGUACCCUUUGCUACGGAAUAACUCAGGGAAACUUGAGCUAAUACCGUAUGUGCCCUACGGGGGAAAGAUUUAUCGGCAAAGGAUCGGCCCGCGUUGGAUUAGCUAGUUGGUGGGGUAAUGGCCUACCAAGGCGACGAUCCAUAGCUGGUCUGAGAGGAUGAUCAGCCACACUGGGACUGAGACACGGCCCAGACUCCUACGGGAGGCAGCAGUGGGGAAUAUUGGACAAUGGGCGCAAGCCUGAUCCAGCCAUGCCGCGUGAGUGAUGAAGGUCUUAGGAUUGUAAAGCUCUUUCACCGGUGAAGAUAAUGACGGUAGCCGGAGAAGAAGCCCCGGCUAACUUCGUG